GCUGCGCCUCGGCGCACAGUGAGAACAAAACCGCAGACGUGGUACGCGGGAAGGACCUCGGCAGCAAAGGAGCUCUGUUUGGGCACCGCUCGGGGAGUACGGGACGGAAGACGGGCAGCGGGAGGGCGAAGCCGCCUUCCCCCGGGUGCCCGAAGCUGCCCGCCUGCCGGCAGUGACGGCCCCGCGGCAGAGCGCUGCCCGGCGCGCGUGAAGGCGUUAAAGGCCCGCCGUCCCGCCCCGCUGCUGGGGCACACCGAGGCGGCGGCGCGCGGCCUGCCCCGUGCUGCGGCGAGCGGGAGCCCCGCCUCGGCCUGCGUGACGCGCGUUGCCAUGGCCACCCGUUUACGCUACAAGGCCCGGCGGGGGCGGGCGGGAGGGAGGGGCCGCUUCAGCACCAGGGCGGCCGCGGACAGCAGCGGCCCCGGCUCGGCGGCGGCUCUCCGGUGCGGGCUGCGCGGCCGCCGCGGAACCGGCGCCGGGUCAGCGCGUCUCUGUGCGGCGGCGGAGCGCUCCGGUGAGUUCUGCGGGAACCUCCGGCGGCCGUUCACGGGCGUGCGCUUUCCCUGGGAGGUUCAUGUUUUUAGCAGUGACAAGAUGACAGUCCUUAUAUUUACCCAAGGAUCCAGUGAGUCAUCCUAUUAACUCUGCUGAAAUACAUGCUUGCCAAUCGUCCUGCCACGGUAAGCCUGAGAUUCUGCAUUCUCUCUGUAGACAUUAUUCAGAAAUUGGCUCAUAGGAUGCAUUCAGUAGUACGAAUAAUCUUUACGUAAACCAGUAACUUCUCAGUGAUGACCACAGCCCAAAAUAGACCAAAUAUUACAUACCACCACUUUUUUCAGUUAUUAAAGUAGUUUAGAGCAAAUGAGAAGAUUGAAUAUCUCUCAUACCACGGUAUUUACAAGGACGUGCAUUGUUUGAACCUGGAGACCAUGGAAGGAGGAACCUUGUGUGUUGUGGGAACUGAUGAAAAAGCGCAGUGUGUCUGUUCUUGAAAAUGCUACCCCAUGAUAUCCACAUGCAACUGAGAGCAAACACAUUGUGAGUCAUGAUGAAAAAAUUCAGCAUCCAAAAAACCCUAAUCUCCAGGAUGACAUCAUAUGGAUUAUGUAGUAGUAUCAAUUGCCCAAAGUAAACUCCUUAUUUAUUUAUCCCUUCUAAGAACUCCCAAACCAGCAAGCCAAUAUCCUGCAAUGUUUCAGCAGAGGUAUAGGCUGCUCAGUUCCUUUUCCCAGCUUUGUGCUGCAGAAGAGUUUGGCUGCCCUUGUGCUGUACUGCCUACAGAUCAGUUUAGUUUGGGAGAAGGGGUGAUCCAGGCUGGUACAUGGCUGUGUUGGGUAUCUUUGUUGCUUGGGUUGGGCUGGAGAAAAGGCAGUACACACUUUUGUUGAUAAGGUCUCUGUUUCCCUUCUCCUUUUGCUUGUUCUGCCCUUAAAGGUGAUAUUUUGUGGCACAAUCCAAGCAAACUGCUUUCUACUUACGCCUAUUUUGCGCACCACGCAGCCUUAUCUCACCAGAGAAGAGCAUAUGGCCUUGAGUUAGUAUUUGUUAUUUCAGGGUAACUAGAUGGUAACUGUACUGAAAACUUAUGGCAAAUCAUGCGUUAUCUCACAACAACAGGAAAAAUAAACAGUAUCUUCACUGCA
ensembl:lncRNA